UUUCAUUUGUGUGUGCUACGGAUCCCAGCACUGCAAUCUGUGCCAUUCAUCUUCAAUCCAACGGUUCAGCUUCGCUUCUUCUGUUUCUGCGUCCUCAAUCCAAUCCAGUAGCCACCGGCCGGCCGAUGGCGGCGACGGCUGCGGCGUACAGCUGCUCGGCGGCGGCGGCGGCGCUGCCGUUCCCGGGGAGCCCCUUCGCCCGUCGCUCGCCCCCGUCCCGCGUUCACCUCGCCUCCUCCAAUCCCAAGCUCGGGAAGCCCGUUCCCAGCCUGAGAGCUUCAUAUCGUCGAAGGCGACCGCAUGUCCGCGCGUGCUCCAGCGAGGUUGAUCCGGACGCCUCGGCAGCGUCACCGGCAGAAGCUAGUUUUGAUAUAAAGCUUCCUAGAAGAAGCUUGCUUGUUCAGUUUACAUGUACUAAAUGUGAUGCAAGGACAGAGCGUUUGAUAAACAGGGUGGCCUAUGAAAGAGGAACCGUGUUUCUUCAGUGCGCUGGGUGCCAGGUGUAUCACAAGUUUGUUGACAAUCUUGGCCUAAUUGUCGAGUAUGACCUACGAGAAGAAAAUGGGGUGAACACUUGUGCUGAAGACUGAUUUGGAAUGUGUCAUAGAAGCCAGGCAUGCUAAGUUUCCUCUAAAUAUACUAGCGCCAUCUUUCUUUCCCUGGAGGAACUGGAUAAGUAAGAUCUUCGAGUGUGAUGUCUCAUGAGCACCUCUGCUACCUCUGCUGGCGACCUCCUUGAUCAUUGAUGUUUCCAAAAGCUCUUGGCUACCAGAAUAUGCUACUCCCGUUGAAAUGCAGAUGGAAUUACAUAAUCUCAUGGAUUAAUAUGCAAGGGCAAGGGGAAAAUGAAUGCACAAGUAGACUACAUACAUACCUAAGGCAGGUCUAUACUUGUUAAAGUUUCUUGGUCAGUGUAGGCGGCGCACACUCUGGCGGUGUUGCCAUGGACCUAUAAUUUCCAGUUGAUGAGAAGGAACCGAAUCAUUUACCAAUUUCCAUGGGCUGAACAAAGAUAGUAAAACAGGGGGCCUCUUUCCAGCGAAGCAAGUGUGCACCAGUCCUUUUUAGUACAGAAAAUCAUGGUAAAACUCUUUGCAGUUCAUGUGUAAACCCAAAACAAUGUAAUGAUACAUUCAUAAAACUCUUUGCAGUUCAUGUAUAAAUCUAACUUGAAGGAGUAUUGUAGCUUUUUUUGUAAAUA